rnacentral:rRNA from 1 species
ANAGUUUGAUCCUGGCUCAGGAUGAACGCUGGCGGCGUGCCUAAUACAUGCAAGUCGAACGCACAGCGAAAGGUGCUUGCACCUUUCAAGUGAGUGGCGAACGGGUGAGUAACACGUGGACAACCUGCCUCAAGGCUGGGGAUAACAUUUGGAAACAGAUGCUAAUACCGAAUAAAACUCAGUGUCGCAUGACACAAAGUUAAAAGGCGCUUUGGCGUCACCUAGAGAUGGAUCCGCGGUGCAUUAGUUAGUUGGUGGGGUAAAGGCCUACCAAGACAAUGAUGCAUAGCCGAGUUGAGAGACUGAUCGGCCACAUUGGGACUGAGACACGGCCCAAACUCCUACGGGAGGCUGCAGUAGGGAAUCUUCCACAAUGGGCGAAAGCCUGAUGGAGCAACGCCGCGUGUGUGAUGAAGGCUUUCGGGUCGUAAAGCACUGUUGUAUGGGAAGAACAGCUAGAAUAGGGAAUGAUUUUAGUUUGACGGUACCAUACCAGAAAGGGACGGCUAAAUACGUGCCAGCAGCCGCGGUAAUACGUAUGUCCCGAGCGUUAUCCGGAUUUAUUGGGCGUAAAGCGAGCGCAGACGGUUGAUUAAGUCUGAUGUG